CCGUGCUUUCUCUCUCCUUGAGAGAGGAGGCGAGCAAUCGAUCUCCUCCUCCUCUCUCUCUUUCCCUUUUUUUUUCUUUUUCUUCUCCGGCUUCUCCUCCUCCUCCUCCUCUUCUUUUCAUUUCGUAUGUUGAGGCGAUGAUUAUAGAUGGCUCGCGAAGGGAUUGUUCUUCUUCUCCCAUUCUUUGUAUGCCUCUUCUCCCUUCUUCUCUAGCGAUAGGGCGAGCAGCAGCCAUUGUUAGUUGGGGAGGAGAAGAAGACACGGUGGGAUCUUUUUCCUAGAUCGGCUUAUAGCUUUCUUUCUCAAGAUUGGUUAGUCUUCUCUUUUUUCUUCUCCCUCUACUUGUUCUUGGAGUUCCAGGUGAUAAUGGCAGCGACGUCGUGCUUCUUGUUAUCUUUUUCUCUUUCUUCUUUUAUGUUUCUUCUCUCUUGCUUUUUCCGUUCUUCUUUGUUUCCCAAAUUGGAAGAGCGGCAUUGCUUUUAGAUUCUAUAAAGGAGGCCGUGAUGAUUCUUGGACGAGUGGUUUUGCGACGUUUGGUGCAAAAAAUGACUUGACGGCGAGGCAAUCUUGGAUGGUCUACUGCUGUUCUUCUACAGGCAGCCGUUUGCAGCCAAUUUGAUUUAUUA
rnacentral:lncRNA from 1 species